rnacentral:lncRNA from 10 species
GUGAGGCCUCCCAGCCGAGUGGAACUACACUAUUCCAGAUGCUGGGUGAACACACUCAACAAAAGAGCUCUCAGAGGACUGGGAUGGGGCUCAACCAAUUCAGAACUAUCACCUGCUCACUCACCCUCCAGAAAUCAUCGAUGCAGGUACUGACACUAAUGGAUCUUAGCUGCACUUGGCUGAGAAAUAAAUCGGUUCUAUAGAUCGGCAAUAAACACAGCUACAGCAGGGAACGCAGCUUCAGCAGUCCACCUAUGCCUGCGAGAAGAAAGGGAUGGGCUAGACGGGGAAUGGGAAUUUGACUGCAGAUUCAUGUGUGUAUGAUGUGUGAUUUGGAUGGAUGGCUAAACUGAGUUUUUUCUCUUUCCACACGCCAACGCCAGAUACCUGGUUGCAGGCCUCUGGCUGCAGGAACCAUAUGUGCUGCUGGAUGGGGUAGUGCAGCACAGGGACGUGGGAAGACCCACUGUCCCCAGAGGCCUUCCCGACCAGAGUGCAGAGCGCCUGUGUCUCCACAUGACUCAGCAAUGACUGUGGCCUGAGAAUGCCUGGCUGCACAGAAACAUCAAUCUGGGAUUUAAAAAUAAACAGGCUGGGUGCAGUGGCUCAUGCCUGUAAUCCCAGCACUUUGGGAGGCCAAGGCAGGUGGAUCACCUGAGGUCGGGAGUUCCAGACCAGCCUGACCAACAUGGAGAAACUCCAUCUCUACUAAAAAUACAAAAAUUAGCCGGGCAUAGUGGUGCAUGCCUGUAAUCCCAGAUACUCGGGAGGCUGAGGGCAGGAGAAACGCUUGAACGUGGGAGGCAAAGGUUGAGGUGAGCUGAGAUUGCACCAUUGCAUUCCAGCCUGGGCAACAAGAAUGAAACUCCGUCUCAAAAAUAACGGUAAUAAUAAUAAUAAUAAACAAAUAAACCAUUCAUACUGUAGUCCAGAUAUUCUUUCCAAUCAGCCCUGCUACAAGAUCUUGUGUUGGAAGCAAUUUUCAAGCUUUUCCUCAUGGAAGGAAAAAAGGACUUACUUAUAUUUUUAGCCUCUAAACAGUCACUUUGCACUUGAAACCUGUAAACUUAUUUGCUAUACUUUAUUUUUGAAUAUUUUGAUGGCUGUCUCUGCCAUAGCCACUCAACUGUGGUCUUCACACGUCUGUCAUAAAUGAACCCAUAUAUACAUUAGGUCUGAUACAAAACCAAAAUAUGUUAUUAAGGGUUUGGGCAGAUAUAUAAAAAGUUGAACACAUUUUAGUUUACUGCUGUUCUUAAAGUGAUUACCAACUGCGGACCAUUCUUGUACUUAUGAAAUAAAAUAUAAGCAUGCCUGCUAACAAUUCCAAUUUUAGUACCUUAGCUAGAAAUGGGUUUUGAAUCAGUUCUAAUGUUUAUAUUCAUGUUACAAUUAUGACCAAAUUAUACUAUUACUUUUAAAGAUUUUGGAACUGUUGUUUAAAUUUCUGGUUUGCUAUUUAGGUAUGUUAAAAAUGCAAAUUGUUUACAUAGUUCAAAUCCCUAAUCUAAGGCCACAGGAAAUAUAAUACCUCAAAAACAAAAAACUAAACCAACAAAAC